rnacentral:tRNA from 1 species
CAAUUGAUAUCUUAAAUUAAAGAAUUGAUCUUUUAAAUCAAAAAUAGUAUUUUAUAUACUUCAAUUGA